GGAGAAGCAACGUGAUGAGCAUUGCUGGCUGGAGCUCCAAAGGGGCACCUGUGUGUGUGUGUGUGUGUGUGUGUGUGUGUCUGUACCCUUGUCUGUGCAUGCACACGUCUGUCUGGGAGCAUGCGUGAGUGUGGCUGGUUGUAGGGACCUAGUUAUGUGCCUCCUUUUGGACGAUGAUAGUCAAAAACUGAUAAGAUCUGAUUGCUUC
rnacentral:snoRNA from 1 species